CUAAGGGAAGGAAGGGCCGGGGUGGCCGUGAGUGGUGACGGGUCCCCUUCCCCUGCACCCCAGUGCUGGGAGAACUCCGUGGGGGAGGAGCUGUACAAGCUGAGUAUCUUCAACUUCCUCCUCACCGUGGCCUUCGCCUUCCUGGUCACCCUGCCUCGGAGGCUGCUGGUGGACCGGUUCUCAGGCCGGUUCUGGGCCUGGCUGGAACGGGAGGAGUUCCUGGUCCCCAAGAAUGUGCUGGACAUCGUGGCGGGGCAGACGGUCACCUGGAUGGGCCUCUUCUACUGCCCCCUGCUGCCCCUGCUGAAUAGCGUCUUCCUCUUC
rnacentral:lncRNA from 1 species